CGGGGGAAGACUGGGUGGUUCUCCAGCUAGAAGCCAAUUGCUGCUCCCGUAACCUGGGGGCUGCACGCAGGGCAGGGAGAGACACACAAGGCUGUUUGUUCCAUGGGCUCCUUCCUCUUCACACCUGUUGGACCAGGUAACAACAGAUGCCUGAGCUCAGACAGAAGAACAAGGCAGAUGCCGGUGCACAGUAGAAGCACAUUCUCUAUCGUGUCCAAAGAGCAUCCGCGGGCAGAUCCCUCUGCAAGCUGGCACCGUCUGGAGAAUGCUGUCCUUGGGCACACUGAGAAAUGGCUGUGUGCCCGGUCCUGCUCUGACAGCCCACUCUGCCCCAACCGACCUGAGGGGCAGCGCUGUCUUCUCUCCGGCCAAGAGGCUGGCAUUUGGCAGGGCGCCCGGCACUGGCUGCUGAGAGCCUCUGAGGGUCCGUGCCAGGUGAUGUGACCCAGGGGGACUGAGUGCAGAACACCCAGCACCGGGGAUGGAGAAGCAGGGCCAGAGGGCCAGGGCUGGGGCACACAAGGGCCUUUGUCAGCCUUGGGCGGAGGGAGAUCAGGUAUACUCUGACCCCUCAGCAGAAGAAACUGACAUAUCCCCAAAUGGGGCUGCAGGGGGCAGGAGGAGCCAGAGCAGGCAGCGAGAGGCACAAAGGUGCAAUUUGAACCUCUCCACGCCUCCCAGGUCACACAUUUACGUCUUGGCUCCACAUCUUGAUUGUAAGGGUCUCUGCUUCCGGCCCAGAGCUGCAGACUCCCGGUCAGUAACUACCGGCUCGAUCAGGCCAAAGAGCAGAAGGAAGUCAUGUGUGAGCUGGGGUCUUCCCAUCGUGUACUGAAAGAGCUCGGAGUCCAGAUGUCGUCCAAGGAUUCUCCAAAUAGUAGGCUGGGAUUUGGCUGAGGGACUCGUCCUUAGGAACAUCGAGCCUCAUUCAUACAAGACUCUCGGUGCCUCAGGUGAUGUUCUAAGGACCUUACACAAGGUAAUUCACAUAAUCCUCAUAUAAAGUGGGUACCAUUGUUACACUCCUUUCUCGUAUGAAGCUUCUAAGCACAGAGACCAUUGGGUCACUUGUCCAAGGUAAUGCAGUUAGAAAAACAAUCGAGCCAGGAUCUGAACCAGCGGAGUGUGUCUCCAGAGUUCAUGCUCUAACCACCACACCCACCACCUAGGGGAGUGCAGCUUACGGAGAGUUUCUUAUUGUUCCAUUAGUACAAAGUGCUUGGGCAGCGUGCCAACUUUGACCUUUUGGGUGCCAGGCAGUUUCCGGUACACCGACAGAACCCGUCAAUCUCUUCUAGUUUCCGUUUCGUUCUGCUCUCUCCGAAAAUAGCCUGCAUGACCUGGAAACCAAGGUCUCUCCAUUCUCCAGGGCCCCACCUCUGAGCACUGGCCGAAGAAGACGUUGUGUAAAUAGGGCGACGUGCCCCCACGGAACCCGGUCCCCCUAUAAUGUGGAUGAUCACAUCCACAGGGCUCCGGGGUGAGGAAGAAUGGCCGCCUCCUUGUUCACAGGGAGAAGAUGUCCAGCAGAGGGAUCCUGGCUGUGUCUGUAGACUCUCAUUUCCUGCUGGUGGAUAAACAGGUGGCAAAUGGCCCGCCAAGGAUGUGACCGCAGAGCAGGAUGACCCCGCUGGCCACUGCAGUUCUCCUCACAUUCCCAGCUGGAGUGAUUUGAAUAAUGGUUCCGAUUUCCUAUUGUAGAGCACAGGAGAUAGUCAGGACCUUGCUGGUUGACGCCUCCAGCAUCGUGGCUUGCGGAACUGGGGGCGUCCAACAUCUCCCUCCGGGUGCACAGGCAUCGUGUCCAAUGUGGUGACAGCCCAUGAUAGCCAGGU
ensembl:lncRNA